AAAAAAAAAAACUAAGAAGAAGCAUUCGUAACGCUGACAAAUAGAAAGUUGUCAUUGAUAGUAGCUAUAUAUCUAUUAAUGAUAACUUUUAAUUUGAGAAAUAGUGGAAAAGUAAACAUAAAUUGCGUUUACACUCAUUUUAAUUAUAAUUAAAAUCAAUUAUUUUUCUUAAAAAUAUAUGCUCCUCCUUAAGAGUAAGAAGCAAUUUGAUUGAUAACUAUUUAUAAUCAGCAUACCCAAAUGUUUAUUAGAAGAAAGGAUGUAAUGUAACAACUACCUCAUUCACUCCACUAAUAUAUCCAAAAUCAAAAGAAAUGGAGUACACGUACCACAUCCUAAUUUAAGAUAUAAAUUAAAGUACACUAUAAGCUUAUGGACAUAUUCUUUCUAUUUGAAAUAAAUAAAAAGGUCAAUUGGAUAUAUAUAUGUGUGUGUAUGUAUUAUGAGUGUGAGGAAAUCAUAUUAUAUGUAUUAAAAACGUGUGGGGGCACAUGCCUUUUCUUCCCCUUAAAAUAAAAGGAUAAACUUAUAUGUUUUUGUACUUUGAGAUCUCAUAUCUCCCAUUUCUAUGAUUUACAUUCAAAUAAUUCUUUUUCCAAUUUUAAAAUUAAACAAAAUUAUUUCAUUUCCUAUCCAUUUUAUCAAUAUUGAAUAAUAAUUUUAGAAAUAAUAAUUAAGUAUAUAGCAAUAUUUUUUUAAAAAAAUACAAAUAUAAUAAAGUUCAUCAAUGAUAAACUAGACUAUUGUGAUUUAUCAAUAUAAACUUCUAUCAUAGACAGAUCUUGAAAGUUUUGCUAAAAUUUAAUUACUAUAAUUACAACUAUUCUUAAAAAUAUUGGUAAUCAUGAACUUUAAUUUUUAAAGUUGAAUACCAUGCUCGUAUAAAUAGAAAAGAAGAUGAAAAACUAAAUUAAUAUCAUACAAUACAUACACACUAAAUUAAUAUCAAAAGAACAGUAUUCUAUAGUAUGGACCUAGAUAUACAACGGGCCAAAAAAUUAAGAAAAUGAAUGUAUCUUAACAUUUUUUAAACACGUAUGUUGUUGUGUUUAAAAAUAAAUAAUAACUCUUGGUUUUUGAAUGAAUGUUUUUGAGAGUCUAAAUUUAAAUUAGGUAAAGUUCCACAUUAGUCUUUAUCCAGAUAUAUAAUUAUAAUUUCUUCAUUAAAUGGUUGAUCCCACGACGAAGGGACAAACAACCUUACACACACAUAUAUAAUUUUAUUAUGAUUAUUAUUAUUAUAAAGAAAGACAAGUUCUAUUCCACUUAGAUUUAAUUAAUGAAUGAUUAAAAUGCAUAAAACUAAGAUUAGAGACAUGUAAAGUAUCAUUUGUUUGAGUAAUCCCCCAUAAAGUUAACCAAAUAAUUAGAUUAAUUAAAAUAAACCAAUACUCUCCACCUUACCUUACCGGUUGGCGGAAUCUUCCUCAAUCCUCACAUUGAAAACAUGACAUAUUUUUAAAUAAAGAGAAGAUUUUUUUUUUCUUUUUAGUUUCAAGAACUUUAUAAAUUUAAUUUUAUUAAAAUUAUGUAAAAUAUUUUUCAGAAAUGUCAUUUAUAUUUGAAUUAUUUUGAUAAAAGAAUGGAUUAGAAUAAAAUUUGAAAAUAUUACAAAAACUUAUUUGGAGCGAGUUUAAGUUAUAUUAUUUUUAAUAAAAAUAGUUAUAUAUAAGUUUAAUUAUUUUUUGUAAGGGGGAAAAUAUAAAAAAUAAUUAGUUGACAAAUGAAUAUAAGUUAUGGUGUUAAUAAAGUAGAUAUUCUUUUAAAUGAAAAUUAUUUACUUUUUCUAACCGACCAAUAGAAAGCAAUUGAUUGAGUGGUUGGAUAAAGCUUAUUCGUAAUAAGAAACAUUUUCCUUUUAUAUCAAAAUUACAUAUGUGUUCCAAUUGAUUCCUCAAGAACCCUUAUUCUCUUUUUUUUUUUAUAUACAUUUUUCAUAUUUACGUAACAAUUUUUAUUUUUUCUGAGUAAUUUUGUUGUAUGGAGAGUGUGAAUAGUCUUGUUAAAAUUUUAUAUUUUUGAUAAAUAUAUUUAUUAAUUUUCCAACCAACGACCAACAAUAAAAUUAUCACUAGUACCAAAACAUAUAUAUAUAGCUACUUCCUAAAAUAUAUAAUUGCAAUAUGUAGAGCUUUUUUACUAUUAAUAAUUAAUUGUAUAUAAAAAAAUGAAAAUAUACCAAAAUUUAUCAAUGAGAUGAGAAAUUCUAUUGUUGACCUAUCGUAUAUACAAUCUUCGAUGUUAAUAAAAUGUAUAUUCUUUUAUACGAAGAUUAUUUACUUUUUCUAACGGACCAACAAGUAGUUGACUCGUGGGUAAUGCUUAAUUGUAAUAUGAUAUAUUUUCUUUUAUAUCAAAAUUACUUACUUUCUAAUUGACUAUAAAAAAAAAUGUAACAAGUUGACCGGUGAGUAAGGCUUAUUUUACCUAUUGACUACUAAACAAACCUUUAUUCUUCAUAAACGGUUCCUUUUUGACAAUGAAUAUUAUUUAACUUUCUGACCGACCACAAAGAAUAAGAUUCUUACUCGUGAUCAUAAAAACAAUCCAAUCUAAUUAGCUAAAUAGAUGUCUUUUAUUAUUUGUUAUGCUUAAUCCUUAUAUAGCUGUGUAUCAUUCUACCUCUCAUUUAACUUCCAUGUAUGUGUCUUGAAUAUGUGAACUUUUUCGUAUAGAAGGGAGUGAGAUUCGAAGAGAAUUUUCUAAUUUCUAACUUUAUCAAUAAGAAAUUAUAUUGUUGAUAGGCUUCCUAUGUUCUCCAAUAAAUAUAAUGAUUAAAUUUUGUUAUAUUUAUAAAUUAUUUUUUAGAUCGGGUGUAAAUUGAGGUAUAGUUUGUCACGUGAUAAUGAUAUAAUAUUCUUGCCAUUGUUGUUAAAAAAAGAGAACAAAAUAAUAAUUAAAUUUUUUUUGAUAAAGAUGUAGGGAUCAAAAUGAAACAUAUAUAAAUAUAACAAAAUCCUCAGCCCUCAUUCAGUCAACUCUGGCGUCUGCUUCUUCUCCCAUAGAGACAGAGCAAAGAAACCCCAUAGAACUUUCCUCUUUCUUCUUCACUAAAAACCCUUCUUCUCUACUAACAAUUCCCCCAACAAUUCUUCUCUAUCUCCAAACAAUGGAAGCUGCCAUGGAAGAUCCCAGUACCCCUUCUCCUUCGGGAAUCAAAGAUUUCGCCCUUAGCGGCAAGAUUAUGCUCAGUGCCAUCAUCAUCCUCCUCUUCGUCGUCCUUCUCAUCAUUUGCCUUCACCUUUACGCCCGCUGGUACGUUCUCCGUGCUCGCCGCCGUGGAAAUCUCCGCCGUCGCAACCGUCUCGUCUUUUAUUUCGAACCCGAAAACUCCUCUGCCCCACAUGGCGCCGCUCUCUCCCAACAUCGAGGCCUCGAUUCCUCUGUUCUCAACUCUCUCCCUGUUUUCACUUUCUCUUCUAAAUCCCAUUCCGAUCCCAUCGAUUGCGCUGUCUGCCUGUCUGAGUUUGAGGAGAAUGAAAAGGGUCGUACACUUCCCAAAUGUUCUCAUAGUUUUCAUAUUGACUGCAUCGAUAUGUGGUUUCACUCACACGCUACUUGCCCACUCUGUCGUUCACCGGUCGAGAUGCCUACGGAGGCACCGGUGGAGGUUGAGAUUUCCAUGGAGGAACCAGUGAUAGCUGAAUCCGGUUCGAGUUCUUCUGGUUUUUGCGCUGAGUGCGAUCGAUCAGACAGGAUGGCUCCUUCUUCCACCGGUUCUCGGUCGUUUAGGGCGCGACGAAAGCCGUCGGAAACGGGUGGAGUUUCGAUUGAGAUUCCGACGAGAAGGGAGGGGGAGUUUGCGUCUUCAUUGUCGCCGACAACUCCGUCGUUUAAGUCGCCGAUAAGUCGGGUGAUGUCGUUGUCGUUCAAGAUGAUCAUAGGUCUGGAGAGAAGAGGGGGGGCGUCACCGACGGGAAAUGGAGUGGGAUGCAGCUCCGGCAGCGGCGUGGAAGUGGAUAUUGAAAAGGGAAAGGAGAGCGUUCAAUGAAGAGGAAGUUGGAACUCGGAAAUUGACUCAGCUGCUUGGAAGACAAGUCGGGUGAGUAGACUGAAGGGUCAAAAGUCCAACGUGGAAACUGUCAACUCCAAUGGUGGAAUGGUUAGUCAGAUUAAGCAGACGUGGCAGUCGUGGUUUUCCCUUUUUUUUUUUUUAGUUUGUAUUCUUUAUGGAACGGAGAUUGUGACAUGUAGAUAUUGAUGUCUUAAUUAUAUAUAUAUAUUUUUUCCCUUCAUAUGCUAAAAUAGGAUAUAAACUUCAGACCUCAAAAAACAAUUGUAACUGAGUGAAGAAGCCUCCUAUUCUAAAAAUGGAGCAUUCUUUUAAGUCACAAAUCUUGGUUUAUUUAAAUUUAUGGUAACUUGUUAGUCUAAAGCUCUAAAAUAACUUCCUCCCUUUCAUUAAUAUCUUUUUUUUGUUUGACUUUCUUUAAGAACAGUGUUAGAAGUAUAGAUAUAACUAAGUUUUCUUGCUUCUUAUACAAAUACAAAUAACAGUUUUGUUUGGCAACCUAACUAAGGAAACUGACCUAACUAUAAUUUAGAUUCCAACUAAAUCUUUUAUUCAAUUAAAAAACAAGUUCUCUACGUAAUACUAUAAUUUGAACUCUAUACUAUUUGAAUAAUUUUAAUCCACUUACAUCCCCAUCUAUUAUUAUUAUUAGCAAGAUAAGCACUUUUAGUGGCCGCCGCCCCCACAUUUCAGAAUUGCUAUUGCUUUCCUUUCUAAUUUAUAUUCAAAACUGCUUUUAUUUUGAUUAGGAAUUACAAAGGCCCCAGAAUCAAUAACCUUUUUUAUAUAUAUACUUUUGUUAUUUGUUUUCUUAUGCUUUCAAUUAUUUUUUUAAAAAAACAUUAUCUUCGGAAUUUCGGAUAAAAAUUGAAAUGUAUUUAUAUGAGAGUCAUAUAUAUGGAUCAUUGUCGGACAUAUCCAUGAUGAGAGAAGUAAUCAAAAGAACAAUCAGUCCAAGCAGGAAAAAGGCAUGGGGAAACUGUUCAGCUCUACCACAACCAAAGAGAGAAUGUUGAGGAAGUAGAUGCAUUAUGACUAGGACUACCACAACACGGACAACGAGAGGGCCUCAACACCUAAAGCCUGAAGGAAGCCAAAUAGAAACUCCACCCCUUUUAUAUGUUACCCAUUAAACUUCAAAUAGAACGCUCCUCUGUCAAUAUUUAUAGUCGGCCUACGUUUUGGGCUUUCCGACCUCGGGCAUUGGGCCGGAUCCUAUCAGCCCUUUUACAAUGUUUUGGGCUUCCAUUUUUAGCCAUUUUCCAAAGGGUAGUUUUGGGAAGUACUAUUUACACUUUACAUGUAUAAUCAUUUUAUUUUAACAAUCAGUAAACUAAAAUAAAAUAAUUCUAUAUUUCCAAAGAUCAGGUUUAACAUUUUUAUUUGACACACUUCAAAAAAUUUAAUAGAAAUUCUUAAACCACUUAUUCUAAGCUUAAACAAGAAAAAUAGUUGGAUGAUGUUUGAAUGAUAUAACAAUGGUUUUUUUUUAUGUGGAGAAGAGAGUAUGGUUUUUUGUUUAUUUUGGAUACAAGAGACUAGAGAGUAUGAAAUUAAUAACUUAGAAUGUAUACCCACUUGAAAAGGGGAAGGCAAUCAAGCUAAACAAUUAAAAUCAUAAAAAGGUGAAAAAAUUGAAGCACUAAAAUGAUAAGAUCUCAUAAAGGAGGGAAUAAAAAAGAAAUUAUUUAUUCAAAAUUUGGAAUGUUUGGAGACUCUACACCGUACUCUAAGAGUAGCUUUUUAUAUAGUUUCUUCCUCUGUUUUUUCUUAUAAAAAUUUUAUACUGCCAUCAUGCCCGAAGUGUACGGAACGCCGGUGGGCUUGAUCCAGGGAUCUCCACGAAUAAAUCUCGCAGCAGUGAAAUCUAAGGCGUGUUCCAUAGUGAUCUUCUUAAUUCCCUUCCACUUCACACGUUUAUCCGUAGCUGCUCCUGGUCCCCUGUUAUUGAUCUCUGCAUAAAACAGAGUAUUCAGAGCAAAAUUUCCCGUCCAUGGAAGCCACCCUUCAGGUUGAAUCAAGUCAUCAAUUUGGGAUUGCAUUAUGAUUGUUCUUGAAUAUUGCUUCCAUGGCCGGCCCAGGAAAGCCUUGUUGAUGUGGCGGAUCGGGAAGAAGUCAGGGGCUGAGGAAAUGGCACAAUUUUGCAAGAUUAUGGCGGUUGGCUCUUUCCGUUGAGUUCGGCCCUGCGCGGUGACGAUGCAUUGUUGAUUAUCCAUUGGCUUCCUCACUAGGAUCUUGCAGUUUUGGAAUACAACGGCGCCGUUUCCGAAGAUGAAAUCGAUGGUUCCGGUGAUGGUGCAGUCUCGGUAGAAUUGACGGUGAGCGUGUGUGUAGAGAGUGUCUUGGUAACCGUCCAUUUGACAAUUGUAGAAGACUGACAUGUCGGAUUGAACUCGAAGUGCCACCGCCUGAUGCUUUGCUGCUCCGGCAGAGUUCUCGAAGCCGAUGUCCUUCGCAAUGAAGUUGCUUCCAAUCACAGCUGUGAAUACAAAACAUUAAAAUCACGGCUGUAUCACAAAUUAACCUAAAAACUUAAUCUGUUUUCUUCUUCUUCUUAUUAUUAUGUUAAAUCAGGUAAUGACUAAUAAUUUUAAGCCGGGAGUGAAGUAAAUUUAAUAUAUUAUAGCGACUUAGAACUUACAAACGGUAGCGGUUUUGAAGGUGGGUGUUCCAUCGAUGUAGUUCUUCCCGGCUGUAAUCUUAGUUUUAGUCGGACCAUCUCCGAUCAUCAUCACCCAAGUCAUACUUUUCUCUACCAUUACUUGUUCUUGAUAAACCCCUGCCUUAACGUAAAUCACAAACGUUUUAUUGCUCUUCUUUGGGACAUCAUUUAAGGCUGCAGUCACAGUUUUGUACUUUCCACUUCCGUCUUUCGCCACCACGGCAUCCGCCUUGAUGUUGGCGCCGGUGGCUUGGAGAAGCCCCCGUCUGUCUCUGACCCACGACGGUUCUUCCCUUUGUUCAUUAGAUUCCUCCGUCAUUAACCGUCGUCCAAUUGCUGGGAGCCCAAAAGAGGUCAAUAUGGAAGUAACUUCACUCACCAUUCCAAGCCCAUUAAUUGUCAAUUCUUUCGACGUUUCCAACAAUUUCGUCAUCUUUUCCCCGGUAUCGCCGGUGACAUUUUCGAAGCCGUCUAUGCAAGUUUCUUGAUAAGUCAAUGCGCCACUCAACCAAACCUUAAGAUCUUCGAUGUAAUCAUCGAGUUUCUGCAUGUCGAAAUUGUCUGUGAUUCUUUGAAAGGAAAUUACGAGAUCGUCAAUUGCAUAAUCCAUAAGCUCACCACAGGCGUCAAGAGCUUGUUUAGCCAUUGGGUCAGAGGCGGCUUCUUUCAGAGUGGUGGAAUUUCCAAUGGCCCAUUUGAUUUCGUUGACGGCGACAUUGAAACCAGCUUUGAUUAGCUCACGUGGGUCGCUCGUGUUGGUUCCGGCCUCAGACAGAGCUUUCUCGCAGGUUUCUUGGUAGUCAGUGGGCUGACAGAGAGCCUUGACUGCUUUGGUGGAGGUCGAAAUCUCGGCUGUGGCGGCACUGUCGCCACCACCGCUGGCGUUGGGGCUAUUUCGAUUGACACCGACUGCGACUGCAACUACCAUGGCAACAAGAAACAAGGAAGAUACACCGAUGAGAGCAGCUUUCUUGUUCUUCCCUUGAUCAGACAUGUUUUUGUUUUACUUUUAGAUUAGCAAUUUGGGGGGUUUCUUUUUCAGUUUGUUUUUUUGUGUUUUUUGUUUUUGGUUUUUGGUUUAUGUUGGUUAAUGGAAAAAGGGAAGAUAGAGAACUGGCUUUGAAUUCUUUUGUUGGAGGAAAUGGAGUGUAUUUAUAUAUGUGAAAGAUUUGGGCAGAGAUCCGAAAUGACAGUUAAUACCGUUGAGUUUGAACAUUAAGAGCCAGUAAGCUUCUUUUUUUUUGACUUUUUCAUCUGAAUCAUUUCCUCACUUUUACCUCUCUAAAUUUAGCUUCCUCCUAAUGUUUACUAAUCUUGAGAUUUUAUUUUAUUUUAUUUUAUUCAUUUACAUAUUUUUUUUCAAUUUUGUGUAUAUAUAUAUAUAUAUAUGACUAAACUUUUAUAAUUUAAAUCUUAAUUUUUCUUAUUCUUAAUUUUUCUUAUUAUCAAUUUAUACUUUCAACUAUUUUGAAAAUCAAUGCACCCAUAAUUUCAACUAUUUGAAAAUCGAUCCAUAAUUUUAAAUGAUAAAACUAUUUUGAAAAUUAAUGUAUGAAUAAUUUUAAAAGAUAAUUGUAAUAAACGGUAUGGAUUGCCUUUUAAAAAUUUAGAAGUUUAAUUAAUUUAAAUUAUAAAUUUUACACAAUAAUUAUUUAAUGUAACCAAAUUUAAAUUUAUAAUUUAAAUUAAUACCAUACAGUUUUUAAAUAUAAUAAUUCUUUCAAAAUUUAAUAAAAAUUAGAAUUAAUUUUUUUUCUUCACUUUGAAAGAUCUAGACUUCUAACCGACCAAGAAUGUCCGAGUCAUUCAAGCUAAACUUAAAUCAACAAAAGUUGAUUGAAUUGAAAAUAUGGGAAUUUGUAUCCUUUUAACUUAUAUAAAAAAAACAACAUACAGGUACAUAUGUCCAAUAUUGUAUUGAUAAAAAUAGUUGAAUCUAAAUAAUUCUAUAGUUAAUCUUAGCACUAUUUUGAAUGUGCAACUAGUUGGAUGAUCAUUAUAACAUAUCAUUGAACUUGUAAAGAGUUUGAUAUUACUACUUGCAAGGUAAGUUGCGUUGGACAUUAAUGCUGUUUGUGUCAAAUACAUUCUGACAAUAAAGUCAAUUGAAUCAAAUCAAAUACAUAAAGAUGAAAAUAAUUCAAACUUCCGACGUCUUGGUUGUAAGUAUAUAUACUAACAAGUUGACGAAAACUAAAAAUAAAUAAUAAUAAAAAGAAAACGAUACUACUUUCUUCCAUUAUUUCAUGGCCAAUGGAUGUUCUGGCCUCUCUUCUUCCUUUUAUUUCUUUUCUUUUAUCUUAUUCUUAUUCCUCAUCCUCUCACAUGUUUUAUUAGAUUUCUAACAUCAUCUUCUGAUGAAUGGUACCUGAAAAGUUUUGCUUUCAAUUUUCAAAGCUUGGCUCUCCGAAGCUCCAACUUGGCUAUGGUUCCCAAAUGUACUUCAUCAGGGCCAUCUGCUAUUCUCAAGGUUCUUGCAGCAGCCCAAAGAUGAGCAAGAACAGUGUCGGAAGACAAGCCACCUGCACCAUGCACUUGCAUUGCCAUGUCCAGAAUCUGUAAAGCCAUAGCUGGAGCUGCAACCUGUACCGAGUUUUACCAACGUGUUAAGUGAAGCGUUUGUGACAAAAGAGGAGAAAGGGGUUGGGGAUAUGUUUUGAAGAUUUGGAACCAUGAAGAAUCUGAUUUAGGAAGUGUUAAAUUGCAGCAUACUGUUUAUAUCUUGAAGUUAUUUCUAAUAUAAUUCGCCUCUAUAAUUAGUCUAUAUAUAUAAUAUAUAUAUCAGGUGACGGUACCAUGGAAAAUUUGUUACUCUAAUUAACGAAACUUUAUCAUUUGAAGAUCAUGAGUAUUCAAACCUGUUAUAAAACGAUAGGCUACUAUUUAAAAUUCACAAACUGUGAAACUUUUAUUAAAUGUAAAAAAAAAAAUUACCUUGGCCAUUGCAAUUGUCCCACGUGCUUUCUUGUUUCCUAACCGAUCCAACUGAUCAGCUGCUUCUAAGACCAGCAGUCUUGUUUUCUCAAGUUCCACACGACACUGACACAAAUGUCGCCAUAUGAUCAUUAUUAUACAUUUAAAAGGGUAUCAUGUGGCAUAGAGGGAAAUGAGGAAUUCCAAUAAGGAUUUUCAAUUACUGAAUAUAUACUGCGUCCUUGGGACGUGAUAUGAAGCCCCUUGUUAAGUAUGGUUUAUGUAUCCGAAUACCUUGGCAAUGUCUGAAAGGAAGGAACCCUGCUCAGCAAUCAACUUCCCAAACACUCUUCUACUAAGAGCCCUCUGAACUGCCAUCUGCAUACCUCGCUCUGCAGCUCCUACCAACCUCAUGCAAUGGUGCAGCCUCCCCGGGCCGAGCCUACCCUGGAAGGACAUACCAAACCAAAUGAAAGUCAUCCACCAUUGCCAAGGGCAUCAGAAUGAAACUGUGGCAUUAGUCAAUUUUCUAGGGAAAUACUGAGAAACGGUAUUAUAGUUGUUAAAAAUAUUAUUAGGGUAUUAAUAAUAUAUUAGUAAUUAGCUAAGCGAUAUUUUUGUAGGGUCUUGUUAUAAAUAGUGAGUGGGAGGGGAAGAAGGUAGGCAUUUAAUUUAGUUGAUUAAGCCUUUGAGUGAUUUCAAGAAAGGGAGUGCCCAAGUACCUCGAAUGAUUUUUAGUUAUUGUAGACCUUCUACCUUAAACUAUUCAAUGCAUUUCAGCUAUUUGGUUUUGAUCAUAUAUACUCAAAGUCAAUCCCAUUUAAAUGCAAGCACGAACAUCCAUAGGAUACAUCAUAUAAGAUAGCAUAAAAGAUUUGAACAACAUUACCUGUGCAAUUUCAAAUCCACGACCCUCUCCAAGUAUAAUAUUCGUUUCAGGAACACGAACAUUGUCAAAUAUAAUCUCAGCAUGGCCAUGAGGUGCGUCAUCAAAGCCAAACACUGUGAGUGGUCUUUUGACAAUUACACCUGGAGUCUGGAUGUCAACUAAGAUCAUGGACUGUUGCUUAUGCAAAGGAGCGGUAACAUCUGUUUUUCCCUGCAAACAAUAGAGAACUUGUUGCAGCGAUAAUAAUAUAAAUCAAUUUGAGAAUAAUAGACUGGUCUUCUAAAUAGUAGGAAGUAGGAACUAACCAUAACUAUAAGGAUUUUGCACCUUGGAUCCAUCGCUCCACUUGUCCACCAUUUUCUUCCAUUGAUGACAAAGGUAUCUCCUUCCCUGCAUGUAAGUUGACAGUUUAAGUAUUAAAUAUACCUAUAACAAACAAAACACUUUAAGCACACUUGAAGAUAUAUGUUUCCCAAAAUUUCAACUGUCAAUUUGGAAAUGAUUAACGAACUAUGAAUGAAAAAUAGAGAUUGUUAAAAAAUUAGUCAAGAAAAGCCAUUCAACAUGCCUUUAGUUGAAUGUUCAAUAUAUAAAAUAUCCUCACAUUUUUUUAAGUCUGCCAACAGGAGGGAAAAAAAAUAGAGAAUGUAAUCCAAUAAGCAGCAAGGAAUUUUUUAUCUAGUAAACAGAUGAACUACAUAAUCAGAAUAGCACUUUUCUAUAGAUAAAUGUUUAACAUCGUUACCUUGUAAUUGAGCAUUCAAUAUUUGUUGCAUCGGAGGAUGCAACCUGUGGUUCAGUCAUUGCAAAUCCAGACCGUAUCUUCCCUUCAAGCAAAGGAAUAAGCCAUUCAUGUAGCUGUUGUUUGUUGCCAUACCGCAACAAUACCUAAUGAAAAAGAUAGAAUUAUCAAUAGCAGUUCCAAUCAUGUAUGCUUACAUCGUGUUUGUCAAACUUUAACUGAACCAUUGGUGGCAAAGAUACCAACAGAUUAGUGAUUAUAACAUACAAUACUCCACCUACGCAGAGGAUAUUCAACACCCAAAAUUCUAAACGUAAAAGAGUAUAAAUUCAAUGGAAAAUACAUAAAGGUUUAUUCAUUCAUUGGUCUAUUCAAUUUGUUAAAGUGUAUAUGCUUACAGCAGUGUCAAGAAUUCAGGGAAUCUAUAAAGCUAGCGACCUUCCAGGCAGAAUUCAGGCUAUAAAAUUGGAUCUUACCUCCAUAUUUCCAGUGUCAGGUGCGCCACAAUUAAACACCUGAGGUGCCCAAAUAGAUCGACCCAUUAUCUCACAGAGGUGCCCAUAUUCAAGAUUGGAGAGGCCAGCACCAAGAAGAAGAUUUUCCGCACCAGCUGAAACGAUGUGGCUAGUUCCAUUGAAAAGCAGUUUCCUUGCUCUAGCAGCACUAUCAAACUGCACAAGAAAUCUUAUUUCUUAAACUGAUAUUUAAAGGAAUAACAGUACAAGUAUAUAGAUUAAAUCAGAGAAGAGAUAAAAUACAAACAGGUAUCCACAAGUUCCAUAAGCCUUCUUUUUUAGCCAUCUCCUUUAGUUUCUCUUCCUCUGGGUGAAUGGUCCACCGUAAGGAAGACUGAGCAAGUUUGUAAAAUUCAUUUUCCAUAGGGUAUAUAUGAUCGUCCAUGAACUUAAUCAACUUGGUUCUCAACUCCAUGACCUUUUUACUGGGGACGAACUUUCCUUCAUCUUUGAGAAUCCCCCAAUCUUCACCCUCCUUCCUUGUAUAUUGUGAAUCAACUUGUACAAUUGAAUCUGAAGUUGUUGAAAUGGGAAAUAGCACCUUAUGAAAUAGCCUUAGUUAUGUUCUACUAGAAGUGAAAAGCUUUAUUAGACAAAAAAACUACCAGAUGGGGGAUUCUCAGGCAGCAAAGACUUUUGUUCAAUAAAUACCCAAGCAGCAUCAACUAAAGCAUUAGCCUUUUGUACAGCAAUCUGAGCACUCUCACCCCCUGAUGCAUUUCCCUGCAUUCUCAAAAGGAAACUGUGAUUAUUGCAAUUUAAAAAUUCAAAAUCCAUUCUUUCGUUUUUCCAUGCUGCCAAGUGUAUUCAAUUAACUGAUAAGAUACCAUAAUCCAUCGACUGUAAAUUCCAGCAAAGAUUGCAGCUCCUCGAAAAAUGGAGAAGGCAACAUAAAAUUUCCAUGCAGAAAACGGCCAUGGUUUUCCCUGCAACAAGGAAAUUCCAGAAAAAGUGAAUCUCAAGAACCAGUGGAAUAAAUUUGAAACAAUGAAUCUUCAUUUACGUCAGCUAGAUCAUGCACUGGCCCAUGAACAUUCAUUUUCCUUGGACCGAAUAAAUAUCAAACUAAAAAAUUACUUAAAUUGAAUCUAAGCUGAUUUUUAUCUGUAUCAUAGGAGCUCAAAGGAAACUUAGGGAUUUAUUACUUAGACCAUAUUUACAAUUUAUUUACAUAAACAAGAAGUCAGACACAUAUCAAUAAUUGAUAAACGCUCAAGGACUGCAAAGAUAACGGAACAACAAGAUACUGACAUUACUUCUAGAUAAGUUGCACCUUCAAUUCCUUAUCAUCAAGCCUUCAAUAUAUGGUUACAAGAUGCUUUCUUCAUGGCUAUUUGUUUCAAGGCUAACGUAGAAACGAAAAAUCUAGGACGGGAAAUGUGAAAACAUAGGUAUCUGUUAUUAUCAAAAGAACCUGAUUAAUAUUGCAAAAGUUUUUACUCGGGAAAUCUUCAAUAGCCAUAUACUAAUGAAUUAAUUGAAACUUUAAGUUAUUAUCCCUAAUCAAAAUCAAGUGAGUUCAAUUAAUUAAGUCUAGAAACAAUAACUAAUUAUUACAAUCUAAUUAAUUUACCACAUUAUAUUAAUAUAAAGUAAUUUGUGUCGAUUCUAAAAGAAACGAACAGAGAUGGGCAUAAAAUAAGAAAGUUCCAUUAAUAACAUAAUAAUAAUAAAAAAAACAAUUAAUGUAUAUAUAUAUUCAAGAUAAUGCAUGACCUUCGUAAUAAAAACCCAUUUAUUUAAAAUGUUAACAAAAGAACAAAAAUUGGUGGCGUCACCAACUAUCAUGCGGGUGAACCACAAAACUCAAAUACUUGACCGAAUAAUUCUGAUAAUAACUACUUACAGCGAUAGAACAGUAACGAGCCAAAUAUUCUGUUAAUGAAGGUAUCCCUUCCAAAGUUCCAAUAUUGUUAAAACCACUUGCUGUAUUUGGAAGGUCAGAGUGGAUGUCCAAGAUGUAAGGCUGGAAAGAAAUGGAAGUAGUACAGCUUCAAUAUGUGUGAGCACAUGAAUAGAAAUUAUCCAACAAUUAACAGCGUGCUGAUGUUACAAGUUAAAAUGCUGAAACAUUAUGGUGAUUCUUGAACAUUGUAGAACAGAAAUUCCCUACCAGGCAGAAAUAAGCAACAUCACACAUUUGAUUUCCAACCGUGGACAGCUCCCAAUCAAGAAUGCCUAUUACUCGGUCCUGCACUCUCAAAGGAUGAAACAACGUGCAAGUUUUAUUUAUCUAUAUACACCUCAACUUCAGCAAUAAACAUCCAAGAAAUAAUAAAUGUUAGCAGGGCGCCAGACUUUACAAAGAUUAAAACUCAUCCUCUUGGUUGAACAAGCAAAAAACAAAAUGGAGGACAUGGACAUUCAAAGGAUAUAUUUAUAUAGAAGAAAUAGCAGACCUCGGAGGGAUGAAAUAUAAGAUUAUCAAUUCGAAAAUCUCCAUGAACUAAGCCAGCUGUGACACCUGAAGAAUCUUCUGAAGGAAUAUGUGCACGUAGCCACUCAAUUAGUGCAAACAUUUUUGGAUUUCCAUCUACUUUACCCUCAUUGGUUGAUGAAAUAUACUGUUUUGCCCACCUUUCAAUCUAUGGGGAAAACAAAACAGAAGUUUAUAAGCAAUAUUACUUGGUUUGGCUAACAGCGUUGUUAUGACCAGUCCAUCCUCACAAAAUAGCACAGGGAAGAAAAUUUCAAGGACUCAUAAUCCAUAGGAACAGAAUAAAGAUUUAGGACACACCUGUCGCUUACAAUAGUUAUCUGGACGCCCAAAUUUUCCUAGACCAAUAGCAUUCACAUCAACAGAAUGUAGAGAAGCUAAACUUUUCGCAGCUUCUAAAUAUAUUGCUCUUCUAGUUUCAGGAGCAACUCCCUAAUGCAAUAACAGUCAAUCCAUCAGAAUCAAGUCAAUUGCAUAGCUAGUAAAACUUCAGAAUUUACUAAAGAUACCUCCAAUUUGGGGUCUAAAAAGAUUCGUCCGUUCAAGUACUCCAUAAUAUAAAAUGGAGUACCAAUUACACUUGAAUCAUUACACAGGCAGACAACUUUGGGAACUGGAACCUGUGUAUGAUUACCCAAUGCUUGAAGAACCUAUCACAUCAGAGAUUCAAAGUGGAGAUCAAAACCUUCAAGUCCCUACAGCUACAUCAAUUCGGAAAAUUAUAAGAAGUAUUACACUUCUCUCUUUUUAGCAUUAAAAAAUUAAGCUAGCUCACCGAUUAGUUGGACUGCCUACUGAUUCUUUGAUAUAAAAAAGUUGUAUUCACAAUUAUAGAGUUGUGAAGUUUUCUUUUAAUCAGUUAACACAAGUCAAAUGAAGUUGUGAUCGAUUCUCGUUCGAUUUCUAUCUGUUGUUAGGUAAUGGAAUCACCUGAAACUCCCUCUCAACGGCGUGAGCAGAGUGGAGCAGGACGCCGGGAGGUUUCUUCCUCAAAACAUACCGAUUCGUGGAAUCUCCGGAAGAAACUUCGAUAAGAUAAGUGGGAUUUGAUUGACCAUGUCCGAACUAAUCUCCAGAAAUGGGAAAGGAAAACACAAAAUCAACGAAGAGAAAUAAGAUUAAAGCGAUGAAAUUAGGAGUAAGAGAAAGCAUAGAAAGAAGAAGAACCUGAGAGACGAGGAAAUUAGAAGGGAAAGAAGGAAAAGCAGGAACGUUGGAGGAGCAGUAACGGAGCAAGGCAUUGAGAUCAAGGUGGUGAGCAGGAGAAAUAUGGCCAAGCAAAUCAAGCGUACGCUUCGCCAUAGCUGGAAACUCAAGAAUCAGUAGAGGAUUGGUUAAGAAGAGAAGAACAUACAGAAAAUUGAAAGGAAAAUUGGAUGAAGAAGGAGCAAGAAGGAGGACGCAAACCAAUGAAGGUGUUUUUAAAUGCUAUUUGUAUUUCAAUAAUAGUCGGACUAAACGAAAAAAUGAGUAUAUGCCCAUAACUACCCGCUUGAUUAUAUAUAUAUAUAUAUCACAGCCUUUCACUUACACACCCUUGGCCCCAUCAUUUUUAGAUUUUUAAAUUUAAUACAUUACCUUUGAUUUGCCCUUUAAAAAAUUUAGUUUUCUCUCUUCUUUAUUUAUUAAAUGGGUUUCACUUUUUUUUUUUUUUAUCUCCAUUUUCUACUAAAUAUACAUUGUUUCGUUUCUAUGCUUAUUACUUAAUUUAAAAGAAUAUGUUUCACUAUUUUUAUUCAUCACUAUUCAAAUUAAUUUGAGAUUUUAUCAUUCAAGUGAGUAUUUACUAACAAAAGUUUGAUAAAUUUGUAAUAUUUUUAUAUUUAUGAACCAAUGCCAAAUGAAAACUAAGGUCCAUAAAAAAUGUAUGUAUUUUUCUUUAUUUUAUUUUUUUUACAUACUAAUAUAAAAAGUAUGAAAAAGUCCAGACAUAAUUGGUGAUCUUCAACCCAUAUGGUUUUUAAUCAAUCCAGUCUUGCAAGCUUUGUGAAACAAAAGUUAAACUAAUUUUGAUUAGCGAGAAGAAAACAAUGGGUUAUGCGUAUGCCUCUUUGAUGAAUAUCACAAAUGGGGGCAAUAAAAAUACACUUUGAAUUUUGUUUGAUAGAGGACUUUGAAUUAGUUUUUGGAUCACACAAUGGCUGAAAUCUUGUUUCUCUUUCACUACGUGUGCAGAGAGAGCAAUGGGCUUAUUAGCAAGGUCAAAUUGAAAGCAUUAGAGAUCAAAUGCUCUCCAAAACCAUCAUCAAGUCACUCUUGGGGUCUCCAAAAAUAGCUUUAAAUGCCCACCUGAUCAUUAUGUAAGACAAGUACAUCAAAAUUCACCAUGAUGUAGAGAGAGUUGGGGAAGGAAGAUGAAGGUGACAAUGGGAUGAUAUCCAAAAACAUAGUCUGUAACACUUAAAAAAGGUGGGUGGUCUGUCCAAAGCUUCUAGGUAACAAGACAAACCCAUUGACUAAGUCUUAAGGAAUAAGGGUUCUCAUUCACAUUGAUAAGAACUAAACAGUUCAUACCUCUAACCUAUAGAAUAUACUUUGAGUUAUGUUUGAGUUGGUAGAAAUAAGUACUCUUAACUUCAUUAUAUCCAUUGAAAUGUUAAUUUUGGAUACAACUUAAUGGAUAAAAUACAUAUUGCCAACUUAAAUAAAAUAUCUAUUAUUAACUCAAAAAUAAACUGUAUGAUGUAAAUUUGAGCCUAACUCAAAUGAUUAAAACAUAUUAUAUUUUUAAUUAACUAAAAAGUUCAGUGUUUGUUCCGACGAAAGGAGAAAAUUUGUGGAGAUAUCUACUCGAAAGAAAUAAAUAUAGAAAUGAAGAAUGAAUACAUGGAAGAGAGGAAGAGGAGAAAGAAAAUAUUAAAAAAAUAUAUUAUUUUCAACCAGAUUUUAGAAAAUUAUUUUUAUAUUUAAACUCAAUAUACUUAUUAGUAGGAUGACCUUUUAAAUUUAUUUUAAAAAAUGACUAAUUUAAAAUAUUAGAAACUAAAUGUACUUAUUUGUCGAACAUGAUUAUAAUGAUAUAGUUAUAAAUUUCAAAUCUAAGAAUAAAAAAUAAUAUCAAAGGAGAACACAUAAUUUUGAUUACUUAAAUAAAACUUUUGUGUGUAACCUUUGGGUUGCACAAGUUGUUACCAUUAAACUCCAAUAAUUCUCCUGUCCAAAUUAUUGUUUCAAAUGCAAUUAUAUACUUUUCCUAUAUAAAAUAAUUACAGUUGAAUUAUAAAACUUAGGUUUAAUAAAAAGAAUUUUAUAAUUAGAAUGACUAAGUAUAGAAUAAUGGUAAUUGGUAGCUAUUUUAGGAAUAAUAAUUAAGGAUAUAGUAACAUUUAAAAAAGUUGUAAAUAUAGCAAAAUCAUCACUGAUAGACUUGUAUCGCUGAUAGAUUCGUAUGGUCUAUUAAUGAUAGACCAAUAUUUACAACAUGGUCUAUGAGUGAUAAACUUAUAUCAUUAUAGCAUAUCAAUGACUAUCAGUGAUAAAAUUUGUUAUAAGUUAUAAAUAUUUUGUAAAAUCUACUAUUUUUUAAAAAAAAUUCAAAGUAAAAAUAUGAAAAUAAGAAUUCAAGCUAAAAAUCUAAAAAAAAAAUCCUACCAACUUUGUUCUAUGUUCUUUGUGAGAAGACAAGUCAAUGCAAAGAUAAGGUUAGAAUAUAUCCCUUUUUAGGGUUUCUAAACUUUGGGUAUGCUCAAGUUGGCAAGUAAUCAAUUACCAAAGUGGUUGGUUUGUUUUAGUUUUGUUUUUCAAUUUACUUCCUAUUUUUUAAAAAAAUUUCAUUAGUAAUUAUUAAUUUGGUAUGAUAAAUAUCUAAGAAGUGUUUGACAAUCGAUAUGUAAUUGAGUUGCGUGGAUAAAAAAAUUCAUCCACCAUUUAAAUACAUCAAUAAUUCAAGAGAUUUAAUUAACUUGUUAUUUGUGUUAGCUUAUAUUUUCCAUUUGAGUGUUUAUUUCAACUUUCUUAAAUACUCUCACAUAUAAUAAUUAUCAACUCAACCUCAUAAUUAAAAAUCAACUCUAGUCCAAUAUUUUUUCUUUUGUAAAUAUGAAAUUUAAAGGAAGAAAAUUAAAAUGUUAUUUAAAAUAUUUUCAAUUUCUAAUAAAAGAAUAUUAAUCUCAAAUUAUUACUCAUAGACAUAGUCAAUAGGUGAAGAAAAUUCGUUCACUAUCCCUAUAUAGAAGAACAUCUCUACCUACUUUAUUCUUAAUUCAAAUGGACUACUUAUCCAAACUAAAUACCAUAUUAAGAUAUUUUUUAAUUAUUGGUAACACAAACAUAUUAUAAAUAAACUAACUCAAUAAAAGGACCUUGAACAUCUAUAAUAAUUAGAAUUUCCUUUUUAAUGUAUAUAUAUAGAUCCAGAUCAACCCAACAAAUAUACUCCCACUUACAAAAUUUUAAAAAAUAAAUUAUUUUUUUUUACUAAUUUAACCCUUUUAUUUAAUGUAUAGGAAUUUCUAAUGGGAGCUAGAUUCCCCCAAAUAAUUUGAAAAAAUAAUAAUAUUUCAAAACAAUUAUUUUUGGUGGAACAAAUUCCAAUUUUCUUAGCUUAUUGAGAGAUAAAGUAAUUUCCAACAAAUUAGUAAGCCUAAUCAUUUCCAACGUUUUCUAUAUAAAUGGUGUUUCACCUUCUUCAAUAUAAAUUAAUUUCUAUCCCCAAACCAAAAAAAAAAGGAAAACUAACCAUAAAAACACACAAGGUGUGUUAUGGCAGCUCACAGAGAUCUAUCUCGUAAUGAUCUCCCUAAAAUUGGAUUGGAAGGCUUUGCCCUUAUAGAAGAAAUCUACUGCAAACGACUACCAAAGAGGAGACCAAGGCAAGUUGCUCUAGCUCCACCACAAUCAAUCAUAGCAAUUCAUCCUCCACAAAGGAUGGCCGAGUCAUCACCGCCUAUUCGUUGUAAUCAAUUGGCUAAAACUCACGAAGGUGAAAGCAAGUCAUAGAGGAAUCUAUUAAACCAUGAAAAUUUAGAGUCAUAUGGUAACUCUUUAUUUAAUCAAAAGUGUGUGUAUAUAUAUAUAUAUUUAUAUAUUUUCAUUUGGCAUGAUCUGGUUUCUACGUUUGUGUGGAAGCAAGCUUGUAAAGAGUCUAGUAAAACUUAUAAUGGCUCUGCUUGUAAUAAAUAAAGUUUAUUAUCAACUAAGAAGCUUACUUUGCUAUCCUCUAUUUGCAACUUUUCAUCGUAUGUUUCUCUUCUUGACUCACCUUUAACUUCUUGUUGAUCAAGCAGUUGGGUUGACAGUUUUCUUUUAAGCAUUUCAUUACACAUAUAUAUGGUUAUUAAUUUUGCUACAAAACAUUUGAUUCAUAUGGAGAAUUCUUAUUUAUUAUAUUGGUUAUAGAAAUUUCUACAUUCUUUUGUUUCUUCCUAUUAUAUCGG
rnacentral:lncRNA from 1 species